rnacentral:rRNA from 1 species
GAAACACGGACCAAGGAGUUUUAUAUGAUUGCGAGUCAAAGGGCUUUACGAAACCCCAGGGCGAAAUUAAUGUAAAGGUUUACUUUGGUAAGCUGAGAUGUGACCUUUUUGACUUCAAAAAUCAAUGAGUGCAACAUCAACCCGUCUAAAGGUGUUCGCAUCUGGGCGGAGUAUGAGCGAUCAUGUAGAGACCCGAAAGAUGGUGAACUAUGCUUGUGCAGGUUGAAGUCAGGGGAAACUCUGAUGGAGGACCGAAGCGGUUCUGACGUGCAAAUCGAUCGUCGGACAUGAGUAUAGGGGCGAAAGACUAAUCGAACCAUCUAGUAGCUGGUUCCCUCCGAAGUUUCCCUCAGGAUAGCUGGCGUUUAUUGUCGUAGUUUCACCUGGUAAAGCGAAUGAUUAGAAGUAUUGGGGACGAAAUGUUCUCAACUUAUUCUCAAACUUUAAAUGGGUUCGAAGUGUAUCUCGCUUCAUUGGAGAUGCACAUUGAAUACGAAUGCCUAGUGGGCCAUUUUUGGUAAGCAGAACUGGCGAUGUGGGAUGAACCAAACAUUUGGUUAAGGUGCCUAACAUCACGCUCAUGAGAACCCACACAAGGUGUUGGUUGAUAAAGACAGCAGGACGGUGGACUGGUCUCUCUCGCUAAGGAGUGUGUGACAACUCACAYGCCGARUCUACCAGCCCUGAAAAUGGAUGGCGCUGUAGCGUGAGACACCAUACCGARUCGGURUCGUAAGAACAUCAAUUUGUUUCGAGUAAACGGUAUCGUGUAGGAGGGUGCCGUGGUUGCUUAGAAGMUACUGGCGUGAGUCAGAGUGGAGCGGUCACGGGUACAGAUCUUGGUAGUAGU